rnacentral:rRNA from 1 species
AGCAGCCGCGGUAAUUCCAGCUCCAAUAGCGUAUAUUAAAGUUGUUGCAGUUAAAAAGCUCGUAGUUGAAUUUCGGGGUCAGCAAGUUGGUCGUGCCACUGGUAUGCACUGGCUUUGCUGAUUCCUCCUUCCUGAAGAACUGUAAUGCUAUUAAUUUAGUGUUGCAGGGAAACAGGACUGUUACUUUGAAAAAUUAGAGUGUUUAAAGCAGGCUAACGCUUGAAUACAUUAGCAUGGAAUAAUGAAAUAGGACGUUUGAUCCUAUUUUGUUGGUUUCUAGGAUUGACGUAAUGAUUAAUAGGGGUAGUUGGGGGCAUUAGUAUUCAAUUGUCAGAGGUGAAAUUCUUGGAUUUAUUGAAGACUAACUACUGCGAAAGCAUUUGCCAAGGAUGUUUUCAUUAAUCAAGAACGAAAGUUAGGGGAUCGAAGACGAUCAGAUACCGUCGUAGUCUUAACCAUAAACUAUGCCGACU